GCCCGGAUAGCUCAGCUGGUAGAGCACGUCCAUGGUAAGGACGGGGUCAGGGGUUCGAGUCCCCUUCCGGGCU
rnacentral:tRNA from 1 species